UACAUAAUUCAUUUUGUGAUGGUUGUGUUUCUGCUUUCAAACGUGCUCCGGUUCACCGGGGCGGGCUCCCAAGAGCGCCCUAUUCGUGCUACGUAUGCUUCUGGCGUCUGCCACGCUGCUCCGCGCCCGCACUCUCCCUCUCUGAGGCACACAGAGACAUUCUCCCAACCUCUUGUUUCCUGCUUUUCCUGUGGUGGUUCAGCAGCGCAGAAGAGGAUUUGAAGCUUCUCCACCACCACCACGUCCAUUUAAUUGGUAACGUGAUACACUUGAAUACCAGCAAAUAGUGGGGUCCC
ensembl:ncRNA W09D12.5 ncRNA